CCUACGGGCGGCAGCAGUGAGGAAUAUUGGUCAAUGGGCGAGAGCCUGAACCAGCCAAGUCGCGUGAAGGAUGACGGCCCUACGGGUUGUAAACUUCUUUUGUCAGGGAGUAAUUGAGUCCACGUGUGGUCUUAGCGAGAGUACCUGAAGAAAAAGCAUCGGCUAACUCCGUGCCACCAGCCGCGUUAAUACGGAGUUUUCAAGCGUUAUCCGGAUUUAUUGGGUUUAAAGGGUGCGUAGGCGGUCGGAUAAGUUAGAGGUGAAAGCCCGAGGCUAAACUUCGCAAUUGCCUCUGAUACUGUUCGGCUAGAGAGUAGUUGCGGUAGGCGGAAUGUAUGGUGGAGCGGUGAAAUGCUUAGAGAUCAUACAGAACACCGAUUGCGAAGGCAGCUUACCAAGCUACUACUGACGUUGAGGCACGAAAGCGUGGGGAGCAAACAGGAUUAGAUACCCGUGUAGUC
rnacentral:rRNA from 1 species